rnacentral:rRNA from 1 species
GACGAACGCUGGCGGCGUGCUUAACACAUGCCAGUCGAACGGAAAGGCCCUGCUUUUGUGGGGUGCUCGAGUGGCGAACGGGUGAGUAACACGUGAGUAACCUGCCCUUGACUUUGGGAUAACUUCAGGAAACUGGGGCUAAUACCGGAUAGGAGCUCCUGCUGCAUGGUGGGGGUUGGAAAGUUUCGGCGGUUGGGGAUGGACUCGCGGCUUAUCAGCUUGUUGGUGGGGUAGUGGCUUACCAAGGCUUUGACGGGUAGCCGGCCUGAGAGGGUGACCGGCCACAUUGGGACUGAGAUACGGCCCAGACUCAUACGGGAGGCAGCAGUGGGGAAUAUUGCACAAUGGGCGGAAGCCUGAUGCAGCAACGCCGCGGGCGGGAUGACGGCCUUCGGGUUGUAAAACGCUUUCGCCUGUGACGAAGCGUGAGUGACGGUAAUGGGUAAAGAAGCACCGGCUAACUACGUG